rnacentral:rRNA from 1 species
UACGGAGGGUGCGAGCGUUGUCCGGAAUCAUUGGGCGUAAAGGGCGCGUAGGUGGCCCGGUCAGUUCGUGGUGAAAGCGCGGGGCUCAACCCUGCGUCGGCCAUGAAUACUGCCGCGGCUGGAGCACUGUAGAGGCAGGCGGAAUUCCGGGUGUAGCGGUGGAAUGCGUAGAUAUCGGAAGGAACACCAGUGGCGAAGGCGACUUCCUGGACCGUUACUGACACUGAGGCGCGAAAGCGUGGGGAGCGAACAGG